rnacentral:lncRNA from 1 species
UAGGGACCUCAAGGCAAGCCUGGCCUUCCUGGCCUUCCUGGUUCUGAUGGGCCUCCUGGUCAUCCUGGAAAAGAGGGUCAGUCUGGAGAUAAAGGUGCAUUGGGGCCUCCAGGUCCUCAGGGUCCCAUUGGCUAUCCAGGUCCUCGUGGUGUAAAGGUAAGAUUUAAUUACUGAAUUCCGCCCCCUGCCCCUUUUUGAAUAUGUGCAUGUGGGUAAUUCUUUAU